AUCCAUGGCCAUACCACCCUGAAUGCCCCAGAUCUCAUCUGAUAUUGAAAGCUAAGCAGGAUAGGGCUGGGUUAGUACUUGGAUGGGUGACGCCCUGAGAACACCAAGUGCUGUAGGCU
ensembl:rRNA 5S_rRNA 5S ribosomal RNA